UACGGGGGGGGCAAGCGUUGUUCGGAAUUACUGGGCGUAAAGGGCGCGUAGGCGGCCUGGCAAGUGGAUGGUGAAAUCCCUCGGCUUAACCGAGGAACUGCCAUCCAGACUGCUUGGCUUGAGACCGGGAGAGGUGAGUGGAAUUCCCAGUGUAGCGGUGAAAUGCGUAGAUAUUGGGAGGAACACCAGUGGCGAAGGCGGCUCACUGGACCGGUACUGACGCUGAGGCGCGAAAGCGUGGGGAGCAAACGGG
rnacentral:rRNA from 1 species